UACGGAGGGUGCGAGCGUUAUCCGGAUUCAUUGGGUUUAAAGGGUGCGUAGGCGGGGCUGUGAGUCAGUGGUGAAAGCCCGCGGCCCAACCGCGGAACUGCCAUUGAUACUGCAGUCCUUGAGUGCGCUUGAAGUGGGCGGAAUGUGCCGUGUAGCGGUGAAAUGCUUAGAUAUGGCACAGAACACCGAUCGCGAAGGCAGCUCACUAAGGCGUUACUGACGCUGAGGCACGAAAGCGUGGGGAGCAGACAGG
rnacentral:rRNA from 1 species